GACGUAGGGCGCGAGCGUUGUCCGGAAUUAUUGGGCGUAAAGGGCGCGUAGGCGGCCUUGCAAGUGACGGGUGAAAUCCCUCGGCUUAACCGGGGAACUGCGCUUGAUACUGGAUGGCUUGAGAUUGGGAGAGGGAUGCGGAAUUCCAGGUGUAGCGGUGAAAUGCGUAGAUAUCUGGAGGAACACCGGUGGCGAAGGCGGCAUCCUGGACCAACACUGACACUGAGGAGCGAAAGCCAGGGGAGCAAACGGG
rnacentral:rRNA from 1 species